rnacentral:lncRNA from 1 species
GGUCGUCCAAAUACUGGUAUCGCGUAUUCUCAGUGCAAAUGUUAUGGGUAGCGGCGGCGCUGAUAAAUAUGGCAAAUGUGUGGUGUUUUAUUAGUCAAGCGACAUUCGCCGUCUUGAUGCUGUCUAUGAUAGAACAGAAAGCCCCCGCGCUAGUUGCAGCAUUCCCAUUACCCGAACCGAGCCCCGGAUUGGUUGUUUCGAAGUCACCGCUUCCUCUUCGGCAUGCUAUGGGAGAAACUCCAAGACAUAGGCGUCGUGGAAGACACGCAGGCGUGCGUGUGUCGGCCGAGGAAAUAAGGAAAUAUGCGGAAGUAAUGAGGCGUCCUGGGGAAGUGGAGGGAAUAUACAGAAGAUACAGGAGCCGCUCUGUAAGUUAUGAGAGAAGUGGAAUGGCUCUUACCCAUGGCAAUUAUGAGAAUAAAGCCAGAACACUAAGAACUUAAGGAAUGCUUAUCGAAGCAAUGAGUCGUCCACAAUCUUCUGUUAUAAACCUAUCUGUCCCUGCAAUAUUUCCAGAACUUAUCUAAGAGGUCCCCGAAAAUUUGACAUUUUCUAACAUACACACUGCUGCUCCAUCUACGAUCGAUGACAUCAUACCUUGAAAAUGACCUUAUAGAGGAAUUUUAUAUCUUUCUGCACCUCUAGUCUGUCACGUCAACUUCCUCUGGGCCAGGAAAUCUAGGUUCAUUAAAAUUGGGGUGCAUUUCAUGGUGUCAAAAUAGCGGGCUAGGCUCUUAUAUUUCAUGUCUGCGUCUCCAGCAUAUUCCCAAUAAAGUUCAUCUCUCUCUC